AGUAGGGGUGCAGAAAGUAAGUGUUGUAUAUGAAUGUGGUAAGAGUAGGGGUGCAGAAAGUAAGUGUUGUAUGUGAAUGUGGUAAGAUUAGGGGUACAGAAAGUAAGUGUUGUAUGUGAAUGUGGUAAGAUUAGGGGUACAGAAAGUAAGUGUUGUAUGUGAAUGUGGUAAGAGUAGAGGUACAGAAAGUAAGUGUUGUGUGUGAAUGUGGUAAGAGUAGGGGUACAGAAAGUAAGUGUUGUAUAUGAAUGUGGUAAGAUUAGGGGUGCAGAAAGUAAGUGUUGUAUGUGAAUGUGGUAAGAUUAGGGGUGUAGAAAGUAAGUGUUGUAUAUGAAUGUGGUAAGAGUAGAGGUACAGAAAGUAAGUGUUGUAUGUGAAUGUGGUAAGAUUAGGGGUACAGAAAGUAAGUGUUGUAUGUGAAUGUGGUAAGAUUAGGGGUACAGAAAGUAAGUGUUGUAUAUGAAUGUGGUAAGAUUAGGGGUACAGAAAGUAAGUGUUGUAUGUGAAUGUGGUAAGAUUAGGGGUACAGAAAGUAAGUGUUGUAUGUGAAUGUGGUAAGAGUAGAGGUACAGAAAGUAAGUGUUGUAUAUGAAUGUGGUAAGAUUAGGGGUACAGAAAGUAAGUGUUGUAUAUGAAUGUGGUAAGAUUAGGGGUGCAGAAAGUAAGUGUUGUGUGUGAAUGUGGUAAGAGUAGGGGUACAGAAAGUAAGUGUUGUAUAUGAAUGUGGUAAGAUUAGGGGUGCAGA